UACGUAGGGGGCAAGCGUUGUCCGGAUUUAUUGGGCGUAAAGAGCGUGUAGGCGGCCAGAUAGGUCCGUUGUGAAAACUCGAGGCUCAACCUCGAGACGCCGAUGGAAACCAUUUGGCUAGAGUCCGGAAGAGGAGAGUGGAAUUCCUGGUGUAGCGGUGAAAUGCGCAGAUAUCAGGAGGAACACCCGUGGCUAAGGCGGCUCUCUAGUACGGUACUGACGCUGAGACGCGAAAGCGUGGGGAGCGAACAGG
rnacentral:rRNA from 1 species